GUAACCGGAUGGGCUGACUAGUAGGUCUCCAGCUCAACCCAGGGGAGCCGCUGGCCGUCUGAGAGGCGAUGGGGGACGUGGGUGCUGGCCCAGUCUCAUCCCGAGGACCAGUGGUCUGGAGACCUGGCAGAGUCAGCCAAACUCUUCACAGAUGGAGCUCAGCGGUAACCCAGGGGCUUCUCCAGGAGGAGAGAGGGUGUUGCUCACAGACAUGGACUGAGCCCACAUGGGAAGGAGAGCAGAUCAGCCAAGGAGCAUGCCCAGGGUCUCCUGCCAGGUGAGUGGGCCACACCCUGGCCCUCCCCACCCCUGACUGUCAUUCCUGGAGCUUCCUGAGAGACUGCAAAACCUGAGAACUCCUACAGUUGCCCUGUCCACAUGUACCCAAGCUGGGCUCAACAGACUUUCUGUGAGUCACUGACAUGCUGGUAGCUCUUGGGAAUAGCCAGGAUGCUUCACUGUGAAACUCCAGUCACAAGUCAGUAGUGCAAAGCUCAACUGUGAGAGAUGCUGUUCCUGAAAGAAACUGGUCGGCCUUGUUGUGGAAGGCUACUAGGGAAAUGAGUUUCCCUACUGCCUCUAGGCCCCUUGCCUGAUUCCACAGUAGCCUGUCUGGGUCAUUUUACCAUGCCCAUGUAUAGUUGACCCUUAAAUAGAAUGGGCUUGAACUGCCUGAGUCCACUUAUAUGUGGGUUUUAUUUUAUAAAUAGAGCAUACUACAGUAAAUAUUUUCUUUGUGUUUUUAAUAACAUUUUUUCUAGCUUUAUUGUAAGAAUACAGUGUCUAAUACAUAUACAAAAUAUGUGUUAAUUGACUGCUUGUGCUGUUGGUAAAACUUCCAGUCAACAGUAGUUAAUUAGUGAUCAAGUUUUUGGGGAGUCAGAAGUUAUAAGUGGAUUUUCAACUGCUUGGAGGGGGGUUGGUGCCCCAAACCUGUUUGUUGUUCAAAGAUUAGCUAUUCCCUCUAGCAAAACAAAACAACAGAACAAAAACCAUGCAUUUUGAUAUCCAUAAUUACGUUGUUCACGGUCUCUGCAAGCUCAGAGCCAUGAAAUGUGUUUAUUCUAGCAGGACAGCUUUUUGUUUUCCUCCUUGGAUGCCUGGAAGCUCAGAGUUCAGUUUUAUGUACAGUUGUUGUAAAUUUUUGUACCCUGCUACAAUGUGCUGAGUGCCCCCCCACCUCUCCCCCAUUACUUUCUGAUUUCUGUGUUUGGUCUGACAUCAGUGUGUUAUGUAUUGUAUCACACUGGAUCCUUCAGGAGGUGGGUUGAAGUGGGUGAUUUGGAACAGUGUGCCUAUUGGGAGGCAUUGUUGUAAAGUGGUAAUGGGUUUUCAGAAGCUUGCUCCAUUACUGAGGGUAAGUUAAUUUAGUCUAUGGGACCAGAGUUCAUCCAUUGCUCUGUGGCCAAAUGAAAGAGAUUUAUCAAUGGUCUUUAGCAGGUUUUAUCCAAACUUGUCUGCACUUCCCACUAGUAAAAUUUUCUUCCCAUUUUAUAGAGGGUCAGGGCCAGGGUGGCAGUGGCACUGAAAUCAGCAGUCACAGGGUGGGAACACACUUAUUCUUUACCUGUGUCUGGAGAGAGUGAUGCAGACAGAGCCUCCUCUACUAUUUCUGGGCUGAAGAUCUCUUUGAAGAGGCCACCCAGCACAAGCCAGUGCCCAUGCACCAAGUGGGACCACAAGGCUAUCAACCUGCAGGAUAAGCUUGAGGUGUUGUGGCUCUUUGAAGCCAGAGAGAAGCUCAGCAGAAUCAGGAAUGUGCUGGGGCUCUCCAUCUCCACCAUGGCUACCAUUCGUGACAACAAAGAGAAGAUCCGAGCCAGUUCCCAGGUGGCCACACUGCAGGCGGCCACCAAAUUGAUGCACAGAUGCAGCCUGGUGAUGGAGAAUAUGGAGUGGAAGCUAAGCGUGUGGAUCAAUGACCAGAAUGAGCUCAAUGUGCCCAUCAACAUCAUGCUUGUCCAGGAGAAGGCUUGCAGCCUGUUCGAGGACCUCAAGUGGGAGCAGGGCGCGGGUGCCCAAUUGGAGACCUUCGGGGCAGUUGUGGGUGGUUCGCGUGUUUUAAGGCAUGCCAAAGCCUGCAUGCCUUGGGGUGGGUGGUGAGGCUGGGGGCUGCGAGGCCAUGGGUACAACUGCUGCAGCUUUGUGCAGGUACCCUGCCCUGCUUCAGAGAGUGAUCCAGGAGGGUGGCUACACACCAUGGUAGGUGUUCAACGUGGAUGAGACUGGGCUUUUCUGGAAGCGACUGCCUGACAGGACGUUCCUUUCCCUGGAGGAGAAAUCAGCCCCUGGGUGCAAAGCUACCUGAGAUAUCCUGACGCUGCUACUCAGUGGCAGUGUGGCUGGCGAUCUCAUUGAAGUUGCUGCUGGUGUAUCCCUCAGAGAACUCUCACACCCUCAAGGGCUUCUCCAAGCCCAACCUGCCUGUGGUGUGGCGUUCACACAAGAAAGCCUGGGUGACCAUGAGCAUCUUCCAGGAGUGGUUUGUGCACUUCUUCUGCCCAGUUGUGGAGAGGUUCUGUGCCCAUCACUGCUUGUCUUGGACAGUGUCCCUGGCCACCCUGGGAACCUGGACAACCUCUCCGACCAUGUGUGUGUGGAGUACUUGCCCAAGAACACGACGGCCCUCAUCCAGCCCAAGAACCAGGGCAUUGUUGCCACCUUCAAGGCCUGCUGCUUAUGGAGGGUCUUCUGCCUGUUGGCAUUGAGGGUGGGAGGCAGGGACCAGCAGUCUGUGGUCUUUGACUUCUGGCGAGUAUACAGCAUCCUUGAUGCUGUCUACAACAUCUCUGAGUCCUGGGAGGAGGUCCCACCAGCGACGCUGAGUAGGGGGUGGAGAAAGCUGUGGCCUCAGUGCGUCAAGCGGGAGGCCAGCAGGCUGCAUGUGGAAACUCUACUACAGAUCCGGCAGGACAUCCUGGCACUGACACAUGUUGCAGGUUUCAGAGAGGUUGCAGAGGCAGCUGUGGUUGAGUUGCUUUAGAGCCCUGGGGCAGACCUGUCCAACGAGGAACUGAUUAGCAAUUGGAUGCUAAUUGUCACCCUGUCCUGUUCUCUGAAAUGAUGCUGUGCCCCAUCUGAUUGGUUGGGGAGAGAGAGGAGAGACUGGUGGGUGAGCUAGAGAGGUAGAAUACUCACCAGAUCUCCAAGCCCCCAGCAAGGGGCAUCCUCAUGGCUGCAGGUGUCCCUUGGCCAGAACUGGAUGCUAAUUCUUCCUUUCUUCUCGUCUCCUCCCCUGGUCUCUCUGCCUUGCACUCCUCUCUUUACCGGUUUCCAUUUGAUACCUGCCAUGCCCUUUUGACUUUCUUCUCCCUGUGGACACGGCUCAUUCCAGACAGUGGUGGCAUUUGGAGAAAAGGCCGUGGAUCCCACAAGGGAAUGCUGGGGGCCACCCAUUGCUCUGCAGAAGGUGACCUUUGGGGAUGUGACCUGUUUGGGUAAGGAUGUGGAUUUUGGGGAGUGGGUUGGCCUUAUUGUUGGACAUACAGGCCCUCAGGUGAGUGGUCUAUCUCCAGCUAUGGGUUCCUGCUGCAGAAGGUCUUUACUCCAGACUACCUUCUUUCCACAGGAGUCGGGAGAUGGAGGGCUGCUCUAGAGGACUGGUUAUUGUUUAAAUUUGGCCUGAAGGUUUUGCUGUCGAGCCUAGAUGCCCACACAUCUCCCAUCUGCCUUCUGUACACACCUGUGCACACCUGGCGGGCAUAUGUCCAGACUCCAGCUCAUAUUACAUACAUGAAAUGAGUACUACCUGCUGGCUGGACCCAUCACACCUGAGCAGGAAAUUCUUCUAUCCCAAAACUUGGGCCAUCUUGGACACCCAGAGCUCUGGCUUCUCCUGGGAGUGGCUACUGUGGGUGUAUCUUGAGAUCCCAGGGUUGCCGGUCAGCUACUCCCAUUUGGGUGUCUGCACCACUCAAUGUAGAAUCAGAGUCAGAUGAACAACAACAACAACAACAACAACAAAAAUCAGAGUCAGAUGAAAGAUUGAUUUUAAACACCAUUUUUGGAUAUGUUAAUCAGAUAAGGGAAGAGUCACUUGCUGUUAGUUUGCCAUGGGGUGUGGGGCAUGUGGCCCAUUUCCAUUUAGGAGUCCAAGCCUGCUGGUCAGUGAGUGCCCAACUGCCCCGGCAGGGAGACCUGGCUGAGCGUUUUUGGUAAACUGUGCCUGCAUUACUUUCCACCUGGUAUUGCUCCCCACUGUUAUCACAGCUCCCAACUGCAUCCAGGGAGGAUCUUGGGUGUGAUGCCAAACAGUGUUAUCAUUGUUUUGACCUUUUGCUGUCUAAAAAGAGAGAAGAUAAUUCCAUGUAUUUCACAAGUGACAAGUACAGUGAGAUCAUUGAACAAGUGAAACAUACCAAACUACAAAAGAGGAAGUCUACCCUCUUGCUCCGCUGCCUGAAGUGAUUUGUUAUCUGUAUUGGGAACGAGGAAAUGCCAGUUAUCCCCCUGUCAGAGGCAACAUGAGCUUUUGCUACUGUAUUAAAAAUAAGAACAUGUAUGAUGUGCUACAUGAGGCCCAUGUUAGCAUUGGGCAUGGAGGGAAGCCUAGGAUGCUGGCAGAGCUAAAGAGAUAUAAGAAUGUGACACGGGAAGCCAUACUCCUAUACUUGAAGCUAUAUGCAAAUCCUGUCAGCAGGAGUUGCAUCCUCUGAAGAAAGGUAUGUUGAAGACUGAUGUUUGUGGAGACCAGGAGCCAGUGCCAGGUGGAGCUUAUUGACAUGCAGCCGCAGGCCAACGGACAAUUCAAAUUCAUCAUGGUCUACCAGGGACACACAACCAAAUUUGUCCAGUUGAGGCCUCUGACCAGCAGUAGUGGUGCGGACAUGGCCAGAUGUCUGCCAGACAUCUGCAUCUAUGGGGCCCCUGCUGUUCUCCAGUCUGGGAAUGGAAGAUACUUUGCAAAUGAGGUGAAUGGUGUAUUUAAAGGCACAUGGAGUGGCUUAACAAUUAUGACCAGAAAGCACCAUCUGAGCCAGAGCCCAGGCAGCCUAGAGAAGGGCCACUGACACAUGGAGAGCAUGCUUGUGCCUGGUUCACACAGAGGGGACCAGCACUUGGAUCCUGGGGCUGCACUUUGUCCAAGUGAUGAAGAACAGAAUGUUUUUUGUUGUUUUGUUUUAUUUUUCAUUUUUAAAGAUUUUAUUUUAAGUAAUGUGUAUACCCAAUGUGUGGCUCGAACCCACAACCCUGAGAUCAAGAGUCGCAUGUUCCACUGACUAAGCCACCAGGUGGCCCAAAGAACAGAUUGUUUAACUGGAGCAUCUGGAGCUCACCUUAUGAUGUCAUAUUUGUUUGUGACAUCAAAGUAGAUCUAUCAGUGUCCUCACUGUCCAGUGGAGCACUCGGCAGGCUGGAGACAGAAGAGGAUCUGGAGGAGCUGCUGCAGAGUGUAAGAAUAGAUAUCCAGCCAGAAGAGAGAACUCUGUGGAACUUGUGAGACUAUAGGAAGGUAGUGUGGGCCUCGGAGGAUGGCCUGAAGAUAGAGGAAGUUCCCAUAAAGUCCAUCAAAGUGAGGAUGUCCAUCUUCAGCCAGAUCUGGAGGCAAGGCCUUGGACCCCCAACAGCCCGAGAUGAUUCUCUUUGCAGUGGCCCCAGCAGCCCUCUGAGAUGCAACGCAACAUCCCUGGUCAGCAGGCAGCCACCAUACUCCUCAGUGAUCCAGCCCAGAGCCCAUCAGUGCUUGUGGCCAAGACUUGGGCUGCAGAGGCUGGAAUGUGGCGUCUGAACAACCUGCUGUGCACAGAGAAGGAAGAACAUGAAAACGUGAGCAAUGAAGCCAACAAUAACCCAUCAUUUAAAUCCUGCUUCUCACACUUUGUCUUGGAAACAAAAGUGAUCCAAGGAAUUCAUGCCCAGUCUCCACCCAACAGAACCCUGCUGAGGCAUCGAUGGCCUUGCAGAUCCUCUCCAGCAGGGCCUCCCAGGCUGGUGUGGUUCCUCCACCAGAAAUGUGAAAUCUUCUGUCACCAUAUACAUUUGGGAAAUGCCAGGAGCAUCUCCUCGGGAUUCAGCCCCCAAACGGAUGGGCAUGCGCACUGGGCAGUGGAAGCUGAGUGCCAAUGUGAGUGUAAGUGGUUGGGCCACCUGGCAAGCAUCUGGCAGCUUCCCCUGGAGGGAAGCACUCACCCGGCCUAUUAACCGGGACAAAUGAAAAUACAUGCCCCCCACCCCCGCCAAGGCCACCUGCCCUUGUUUGGACAAUCACCUGUCUGGACAAGGAGGCCAGCACAUCCUGCAUGUUGGUGCGGUGGGGGGGGGGGGGGGAACUCAAGCCCCAGGGUGUCAAGGGCACAGCGCUGGCUGCCAUCUGCCUCUGCCCACUGGGAAUGCUCCGGGGAGGGGCCUCUAACCAGACUUGAUAGACAGAACAUAUAGACUGCACACUUUUGUGUGGGACUGUUGACACUCAGAACCAUGUCUCAGAGAUUCAUCUGUUUCCUGGCGUGGACCCUUCAUUUUCUGUGGGUGAGUGGUGUUCUACCAUGUGAACACUCCGGGAUUCCUUUGUCCGCUUGGAUGGUUCUUAAUUUGAGGUUACAAUAAAGCUGCUCUGAGCAUUCUUGCACACACCUUUUGGUGAACAUCUGCCCUUAGUUUUGCUGGGUAAACACUCAGAAGAGAGACUGGCAGGUUAGAGGGCAUGUGCCUAUCUGCCCCGAAUGGUGCUGCUGAACCGAUUUCCAAAGCAGCUGUACCAUUUCUUGUCCCCACCAGCUGCUUCACAUCCUCGCCAGCAUGGGGU